rnacentral:rRNA from 1 species
GACGAACGCUGGCGGCGUGCCUAAUACAUGCAAGUAGAACGCACAGUUUAUACCGUAGCUUGCUACACCAUAGACUGUGAGUUGCGAACGGGUGAGUAACGCGUAGGUAACCUGCCUGGUAGCGGGGGAUAACUAUUGGAAACGAUAGCUAAUACCGCAUAAUAUUGAUUAUUGCAUGAUAAUUGAUUGAAAGAUGCUAUUGCAUCACUACCAGAUGGACCUACGUUGUAUUAGCUAGUAGGUGAGGUAACGGCUCACCUAGGCGACGAUACAUAGCCGACCUGAGAGGGUGAUCGGCCACACUGGGACUGAGACACGGCCCAGACUCCUACGGGAGGCAGCAGUAGGGAAUCUUCGGCAAUGGACGAAAGUCUGACCGAGCAACGCCGCGUGAGUGAAGAAGGUUUUCGGAUCGUAAAGCUCUGUUGUAAGAGAAGAACGGGUGUGAGAGUGGAAAGUUCACACUGUGACGGUAUCUUACCAGAAAGGGACGGCUAACUACGUG